rnacentral:lncRNA from 1 species
CUCAUGCAUAUUGUCAGACACGUCAGAGUGUGGUAAACUUUAUUUCAUUGCAUUAUAAAGUUCAGGUCAUGGUUUCUCAGUCUUCGUCAUUUACACUUUACAUGGCACAAGACUUUUAAAAUAUUAGGUUGUAAAUUGUAAUUCUCACAAUUCCUUUUUUGGGAGGAAGGAAGGUGUGGAUGGGACUAAAAUAUACUUUAUUCAUUAUUAAAAAUGUUGCUAUAGUACACAAAAUGGGAAAAAUACAGAAAAGAAAGAAAAAGGCCAGGUACAGUGGCUCAUGCCUGUAAUCCCAGCACUUUGGGAGGCCGAGGCAGGUGGAUCACUUGAGGUCAGGAGUUCAAGACCAGCCUGGCCAACAUGGCAAAAUCCCAUCUCUACUAAAAAUAGAAAAAUUAGAUGGGCGUGGUGGCAUGCGCCUGGAAUCCCAGCUACUAGGGAGGUUGAGGUGUGCUUGAGCCCAGGAGGCAGAGGUUGCAGCGAGCCAAGAUUGCACUACUGCACUCCAGCCUGGGCGACAGCAAGACACUGUCAAAAAAAAAAAAAAAGGAAAGAAAGAAAGAGAAAGGAAGGAAGGAAGGAAGGAAGAGAAAAGAAAAGGAAAUAACGAAAGAUUUCCCAGAACUCCACCAUUCAACUGCUGUUGGUAUUUCUUUUUACAACUUUUUUUAAAGACGGGGUCUUGCUCUGUUGGCCAGGCUGGGGUGCAGUGGCACAAUCACAGCUCACUGCAGCCUUAAACUCCUAAGCUGAAGUGAUCCUCCUCGCCUCAGCUUCCUGAGUAGUUGGGAUUACGGACACACUACCAUGUCCGGCUUACUGUUGGUAUUUAUUAGUGGAUUUUAGAAACAUUUUAAAAUGCACUUUUUACAAAGUUGUGAUAAUAACAUUUACUAUUUUAAAAAUAGGUUUCCUCAGUGCUUAAAAAUGAUAUUCAUUCAUUCAACAUUUCCUCAAUGCUUACUAUGUGCCUAGCACUGGGGUACAAUGAUGAAUGAGAUAAACUGGACUUGGUGGCUCACACCUGUAAUCCCAGCACUUUGGGAGGCUAAGGCAGGAGGAUCACUUGAGGCUAGGAGUUCAAGGCCAGCCUGGGCAACAUGGAGAGACCACAUCUCUAAAAAAUAAUCUUAAUAAAAAUAAAAAAUAAAAACAAAGAAAAAUGAGACAGGGUCCUUUCCAGGGUGAUGUGCCUUCUCUUGUCACCACAAUUGCAGCUUGUUUACGCAUUUGCUAAAUGGUUGCUAGGGCUUGGAUAUUUGUCCCCUCCAAAACUUAUGUUGAAGUUCAACCCCCAAUGUAGCAAUAUUCAGAGUUGGGGCCUUUAAGAGGUGAUUGGGUCAUGAGAGCUCUGCCCUCAUAAAUGGAUAAAUCCAUUCAUGGAUUCAUGGGUUGAUGGACUAAUGGGUUGCUACAGGAAUGGGACUAGCAGCUUCAUAAGAUGAGGAUGAGAGAACUGAGCUAACACACUCAGUCCCCUCACCUUGUGGUGCUCUGCACCACCUGGGGACUCUUCAGAGAGUUCCCACCAGCAAAAAGGCCCUCACCAGAUGUGGACUUUACAGCCUCCAGAACUGUAAGAAAUAAAUUUCUUUAUAAAUUACCCAAUCUGUGGUAUAUGUUACAGCAACAGAAAAUGACCUAAGACAAUGGUGCUACUGAGUAGGGGGAAGCCCUCAAAAAAAAGGGGAACUCUGGAUGGGUGUGGUGGCUCACAUUUGUAAUACUAGCACUUUGGGAGGCCAAGGCGGGAGGAUGGCUUGAGCCCAGGAGAUAGUGACCUCCUGGGCAACAUAGUGAGACCCCACCUAUACCAAAAUAGAAAAAAAAAUAGCCUGGCAUGGUGGUGCAGGCCUGUAGUCCCAUCUAUUGGGGAGGCUGAAAUGGGAGAAUCGCUUGAGCCCAGGAGUUCAAGGUUACAAUGAGCUAUGAUAAUCCCCCUGCAGAUUAAAGGCAGAGUAGGGAAGCAUGCCUGGUGAGGACAAGGAACAGCAGGGAGACUAGUGUGGCCAGAGAAACACAGGUGCUCAAACAGUGCUUGCUGAGUGAUUGAAUUACCCCAGCAUGUGGUGCAAACACUUUAGUUUGGUCCCCAGAGUGCCACAGUAGCUCUCAAAUUGUGUCUCCCACUGACUCCUUUCUCCCAGGUUUUUAAAAAAUAUCAUCUGUGCACAUGUUAUCGUCCCGAAAUUGCUGAUGGAUUUUUCAAGAUCUCAUUCUUCCCGCUGUCCUCCUUUAACUCUGCUUUCCAUUUAACUGGGUGUCUGCCCAUGACUGAGUUUUCCUCUUCCCAAGUCACUUGCAAUGGGUCUCUGCACCCUUCUUGGUGUGAUUUCUCCAGUGCCGACAACUGAACCUGGUACAGAGUAAGUGUUCCGUUAAAGAGCUCUUGACUGAGUGAAUGAAUUUCCCCUGAGAGUUUCAUCAAUCCUUUCUACAUCCCCAUUAUUUGAGCCUUUCCAUUGGUCAUACCCAUGCCAGCUUUACUUACUUCUGCUUUUUUUUUUUUUUUAACUCAUGUGAGUUACCAUCAUCAGUUUUUCACUCUGUCUGUUCCUUUUCCUGGAUGGGUGCUGGGUGCCACCUCUCAGUGGCAUUCUCAUUGCACACCAGCGUCCUUUGAUCCUAAAGAGGCUACAGAUCUUUUAGGGAAGGAGGAAGAGAAUGCCUGCCUACCUGCCUAGCACUCAAAAGAGCAGAUCCUUCAAGUCAAAACUCUCACACCUCACCUUGGACCUUUCCAACUCCACCCCAGGAGUCUAUCAGAGAGGAAAUCUAAACACUGUUUGCACCAGUCCUCCCUCUGCCCACCCCUCCCCACACCACAGGACGAGAAGCUACUCUCAGGCAAGGAGUAAGUUGUGGCUUCAAUGUGAGAUUGAGCAAGUAGGACUCACACUUUCUAAUCAAAUCCAGAUUUGUCCUUUUCAGCCUUGUUGUGACACCUGCAUCAUAUCACAGCAAAAUUUCUUUACGGGACUGUCAUAGAGAAACAGGACAAAAACCCUGGACUGGGGUGAGAUUUGGGUUUUCAUCUUGGCUUGGGCUCUUUACGUCUCAGUUUCCUCAUCUGUAAAAGGGUGGAUUGGACUAGAUGGUCUCCAAGAGUCAUUCACGUGCCAAGAGCCUAGCCCAGGAUCUUGUCUCCAAGGGAAAGGCUGCCACACAGGACUCAAAUCGUCCACAGCAACUGCUCCGUCCCCGGCAUCAAUCCCCCCACCCCUCCCCCAAUCCCACACCACCACCCCAUCACAGGAACCUAGACGGUGGACAGGCCAGUGGGGAUGGUAUGCAGAAGUACAUCGACUUAUUCAAGGGAGCUUGGCCCUGAGAAAAGCUGGUGGUCUGCCAACAUUCUCAGAGGCUGAAAUAUAUCAAAACACCCAUUUAAGAAUGUACGCUGAGAACCACAGUGGCCAGAGAGAGGGAGGAUACUGCUCUGCUCCCACCCACCCUUCCCUCCCCACUAUACCUCACCCUCCAUGGCCCCUGUCCAGGACUGCUGCUCCUGGAAUCCAAGGAAAAGGAUUCAAUGUGUGUCUCAAUGACAGGAGGGGCUCCCUGGCUUUCUAGAGUCCUGCCCUCCUGGCCUCUGUUCCCCUCAACCUCAGUGCCAGAGACACAAUGGCCAAGUUCCUUUGAAAAUUCCCUUUCUCCAUGCUCCAGAUUGCCUUUCCUGUCCUCCAGUUAUUCAGGCUCACAUUAAAAAGUAUGAAGAUGGCUUUGGGGAGGGACUCUGGUAGGUGUUAAUCUUUAGUGUAAGGAGAUUAAAGGAGCUGGUUUCCUAGGCAGUGUCUGAUUUCUUUAGUUGGGAAGAGAGAGGCCCCGCCUUUUAUAAGGGCCUGGGGCUGCCAGCGUUGUGCCCUUGAUUUCUUUAGAAUCCAUUCAGACUUAACCAUCCUUUCUGUAGCCAGGCCCAGACUGCAUCGAGGUCAUCUUUGUCUUUCAACAUGAAUAUUCUAGUAACUUUCUCCCCAGUACCCACUCCAGAGGAUCCAGGGCAAAAGUAAAUCUCCGAAAGUGUUUGUAGGAUGAAGCUGGUGACUCAUGCCUAGUUUAUGAGUGGUAAGUGUUACAUUACAUGUUCUGCACAUUAUCUCAUUUAUCCCUCACCACUCUAUGGGGUAGGCACUAUUUUAACCCCCGUUUUAUAGGUUUUGGACCUAAGAGGUUUGGAGCGGGUAAGUCACUUGUCCAAGGUCACACAUUAGGAGGUGUGCUAUCCAUUGCUAAAGCCAAGGCUCGCUCUGUCCAUCGAGCCACUGUACCAAGUGCCAAACAUUUAUUAGGAACCUAUUCCAGGUGCAAAACCCUGGGUGUGGCCAGCAGAUGAUCAAUAUGCACAUGAAUGAAGAAUGGGUAGCUCUUCAAUUCCAGGAGCACAAUUUCUAACCUGGGAGGUGGUAUGAACAUGAAGAACUCUACUCCAAAGCAGCCUGAAAUAAGUGCUAUCUCAGAGGUAAAAGGGGAGUCCCAUAGGAACGUGGCUGAGGAGGGAGAUCAAUACACACUCAGAGAGAGACAGAGAGAGAGAAACAGAGAGAGAGAGAAGCAGAGAGAGAGCGACAGAGAGAAAGAAGGGAGGAAGAGGGUAGGGAAGGAGGGAAGGAAAGGAGAGAGAACAUGAAUGAGAUAAGUGCUGGGAAGAAGUUUUCAAGAAAUGGGCUUUGUGCUAGGCCCUGGUAGAUGGGUCAACUUCCCCAGGCUGGAGAGAAACAGGCAGAGGAAACAGCUCGAGCCAGGAGCCAGGGUGACAGCAUUCAGGAUCUGCUCCACAGUCAGGCCUGGGUUGGGCUAUGGAGAGAGGCAAGCCUCGCAGGUCAGUCAGGAUCAAAUGCAGGAGAGUCCAGAUGCCAGGGAAAGGUCUGGGCUUGCUUCUGGGGGCAGUAAGGAGCUGCUGAAAGCUGCUUAUAGAUAAAGCAUGACAGGCAGGAAGAGAUGAUGUGAGCUUGCAGAGAAAACUGGUGAUGGGAGGCAGAGAUGAGGUCUUCACAUGGUUCAUCUCUUCUUUGGCCAAGGUCCACUGCCAGGCUGGACACUUCAGGGGGCAGGAAGAGGAGGGAUGGUCCCAGCGUUGGGAGUGCUCUGAGCAUAGGCCGAGCCUAAGGCCCCUCCAAGGCCUGUGGAGGGGCUCAGAAGGGCAAGUGGCCUAAUUCUGAGGCGCAAGGAAAGACCUAAAGGAAACACUGAGGGUCUUAGAGUAGGAGGGGUAGUGAGCACGCACAGGGGAAAUUGGAAGGAAAUGAACCAUUCUGGGACAUGGGGAGGAAGAACCUUCAAUUCAGCCAAAGGAAAAUAAGUGUCCUUACCCCUUGCCCAUUCAGGCUCAUUACUUACUUUGAAACUCUUUUAAAGAAAUGCAGAAAAAAACCUUUUUUUCCAAGUGCAGUAAAAACUCAAUGAACUUGAGAAACCAACUGCCUGGAACAUUCAAGUCACUGGGAUUUUUUUUUUUUUUUUUUUUUUUUUGAGACGACAUCUUGCUGUUGCCCAGGCUGGAGUGCCUCAAAAUCCUGGGCUCCAGAGAUUCUCGUGCUUCAGCCUCCCAAGUAACUGGGACUACAUACAUGCAUCACCACGCCCAGCUAAUUUUUAAAAAUUUUUUGUAGAGACAGGAACUCACUAUGUUGCCCAGGCUCAUCUCAAAUUCUUGGGCUCAAGUAAUCCUCCUGCCCUGACCUCCCAAAAUGCUGGGGUUACAGACGUAAGCCACAGCGCCUGGCCCUGCGAUUGUUUUUUGAUUCAAUCUUCGAAGUAGAAUAGGUAAAUGACCACAGACAAGUUAGUAUCAGGAUGUUAAUCACAGAAAGACCUACUAUGGGUGACCACAGAGUCAGCAACAUAAGCAGAAGGUGACUCAACCCAGGACCCAUUUGAGGGGGAUGGAGGAGGCAACCCUGACUAAAAGUUUGCUCCACCCUUUUAAUGUUUUUGUAGGCCCUAAGUCCUGAAGACCUUAUGGAAUCCUCCUCUAAUAUAUAAUUAAACAUUUUAAAAUAAAAAUAGGCUGGUGCAGUGGCUCACACCUGUAAUCCCAGCACUUUGGGAAGCCAGGGCAGGGGGAUCACUUGAGUCCAGGAGUUUGUGACCAUCCUGGGUAAAAUAGCAAAAAAAAGUAUUUUUGUUUAAAAAACUGGGCAGGUGUAGUAGCAUACAUCUGUAGUCCCAGCUACUCGGGAGGUUGAGGCAGGAGUACUGCUUGAGCCCAGGAGUUGAAGGUUACAGCGAGCUAUGAUUGUGCUAUGCUACAAUUAAAUCACAUCCUCUGAUUGCAAAAUUCUUAACUUCAAUAGAGUUCUUUCUCUUUCUCUCUCUCUCACCUGCUUUGCUAAUUCCCUAACCAGCACUGCCCUCACUAGCCUGUGACCAUAUCCAACAGCCCAUUAUGAGAAAGACAUUUCUUUGGAUGUUGAAAAUGUCUGCAUUUCUAAGAAUUCCUGAUUGAAAGGAAGAGGAUGCUAACAGUUCAAGGCAGCAGAGUAGAGGUAGGAAGAGCUGGGCUUGGGAGGUAAACAGCCUGCCUAAAGAACUAAAGAACUAAAGCAAGUUCUUCAGUCUCUCUAUGGCUCAGUUUCCUCAUAUGUAAAAUGGGGAGGAAUAAAAGAAUAAUAUCCCUCUUGCAGUGUUGUCCUGAGGAUGAGUCCACACACAGCCAGAAAGCAUUCAGAAGAGUGCCUGGCACAUAGUGAAUCUCCUAAGUGUUGCUGUUAUCACUUUCACCUACAUCACAAUGCAGCGGAUGCUCAUUCUCCCCAACAUAGUUAAGUAGUAUGAGGCUCUGAAAAGCUAAGUAACUUGUUUUCAGACACACAGCUAGGAAGUAGUAGGAUUAGCUGGAGUGAAAACUCAAGUUAGUUUGACUCUAAAGACCCACUUUCUCCCUCCCAUUAUCCUGCAAAUUUCCCUGAUUGGGGAAUAACAUUAGGCUUUAAAUUUUUAAAAAUAUUACUUACCUUGUGAUAACCAAUGGUACAAAAUUCAAAAAGAAUAAUAUGGUGUAUAGUGAAAAAGUAAUUUUCCCCCUCUCUCUCUUCUCCCAGCCUCCCCACCCCCAGGCCAACAGCUGUUCCCAGUUCCUUGCAGAGCCAGCUUUAGAGUAAGCUUUUCACUGCUAAUGCACAUUUAUUUUCCAGAUUAAUGUAAUUCCCUGAGUGCCUCAUCUGUACCAGGCACUCUAUCCUGGUGCUACCGCUGCCUUCAGAGGGCUCCUGGGCGUGAGUCUGGAGGUUACUGAUGGAGGGAACUACUGUAUUGACUGCUGCAUUUGGUGCUUUUCCCUCUGCAGCCAUCUUUUCCCCUAGUAAAAUCAGCUUGCAUGGUUUGCACACUGGAAAAAGGCCAGUUCAGUGCCCCAAAACCUCUUCUGUAGCUUGCUUUGCACAGAACCUGGCAAGCAAGGAGCAUUAUGGUGUCAGGAGCUGACCAGAGGACUCUGUGAUGCUGGAUCUGGGAUCAGCUUCCUCCUCUACGAAACUCCCGACCCUUCCAGUUCUGUAAUUGCUCUGCCCCAGGGGCUCUUAGGAAGCAUAAUUUUCCAUGAAGCCUUGCUGCUUCUGGGCUCCAUUUCUAGCCAGAAGACCCCAGCUGUCCCACAGGUAACUGAGAAAGGCCAAAGAGCUCUAAGCCCCUUUCCUUACUUUCUCACCGUUGUUCUUUGGACAGUAGUAAUGUUAAAUAUAAAUAUAUUUUCCCCUGCUAUUGCUGCCAGAAAAUAUUUAUAAUGGGGUCAGCACAGAGCUUUCUCAAUGACUUAAUUAUAAAAUAUGCUUAUAACCUGUGGUGUGAUUACAUAAAUGCACAAAAGCAACUUCAGAACGUGGUGCUGAUCAUAACAUAGAAAUCCUUGCUCUCUCUUUCCAAACAUUAAGUAUCUGGCUGAGGGAUAUAAAGUAGGGAUGUCACCAUUUUGGAAGCAGCUAAUGUUAUUCCCAUUUCAGAGAUGGAGGCUCAGAAGAGGUCAGGCUGCUGGCCCAAGAUCAGUGGUAGAAGCAGGACUCCAGCCUGCUUGAUAUUUGACUCAAAGCCCCACUUUUUUCCAAUGCAUCAAGCACCUCAUGGAAAGGUCUGGGACUAUGAAAAUCUAUGUUCUGGAUGUUUGGGAAAUUCAUUUUCUGGUCAGCUGAAUAUUCUGGAUAGAAGAAUGGACACUGCAGAUUAGGGUUAGGAAGGAAGAGGGGAAGACAGAGGUGGAGGUUCCCUAAGCCUUGGAUUCUUCUUCCCAUCACAAUUCACUUCUUAAAGUCUAUGAGUCUCUCCUUCUCAGUGGGUUGUAAACUCCUCUGGGACAUAGUCUGGGAGAGAUCUGGUAACGAUAAGGUAUGCGUGAGGCUGAGAGUCACAUCUCCAUUCUAACCCCUGUCUAUUUGUUUCUAGCUAGGUAGGCACUGUGGUUUUUAUUUGCAUUUCUCAGAUGACUAAUACAGUAAAAUUUUUUUUUUUUUUAAGACAGAGCCUUGCUCUGUCGCCCAGGCUGGAGUGCAGCAGUACGAUCACAGCUCACUGCAGCCUCAACCUCCUGGGCUCAAGCGAUCCUCCCACCUCAGCCUCCCAAGUAGCUGGGACUACAGGCGUGCACCACCACACCUGACGAAUUUUUGUAUUUUUUGUAGAGAUGGGUUUUGCCAUGUUGCCCAGGCUAUGAACAUCUUAUAGAUUUUUAGUAAUUGUUAGUUUGUUUCUUUACUCUGUCUCCCCUUUCUUUCUGUAUCUUUGCCCCCUUAUCCCCUCUCCCAGGACCUGAAAAAAUGCAACCCUGAAAGAUGCCAGGGUCCUGGGAUCCAGAAUCCUCUACUCACAGUUCUCUGUGACAACCCUUUAGCAGCCCUUCAUCAUCUUACCUUGCCAGCCUCAUCUCUCAGCCUUCCAUCCCCUUGUACAUGACUCUCCAGCCAGACUAUCAGUUUCAAUCCUCUCUGAGCCCCUUUGAGCUUUUGUAGAUACUGUUCCGUGUGCCUGGGACACUAUGCACCCUUCCCCACUCCUUCCCCAUACUUUACCUUCCUAAUGCCUAGGUCUCCGUCAAGUCUCAGGUCAUAUGCUACUUCCUCCAGGAAGCCUUGCUUGAUGCUUCCCCCACCCCCACUCACCAGCCUGGGUUAGUUGCCCCUUGUUUGUGGCUAAGAAACAUCCUGUACUUCCCCUUCUAGCACUUAUCACACUGUGUUGCAAUUGCCUGUUUGCUAGUCUGUUUCUCUUAUACCUUGCCUCAUCCCUUUGAGGCUUAAUCUGUGCGUUGCACACUCUUCUAUCUCAAAGCCUAGUGCAACAGUGAUAUUUGUUGAAUGAAUGAUCUAGCUCAGAUCUCUCUAAAAUGACAAAAAUCUAACCUUCUGCGCCACCUCCCACAUCAAUCCUCCUCUUUGCCAAGGUCUCAAAAAAACAGACAUUUAUGGACGGUCUACUGUGUGCCAAGCACCAGGCCAGGCCCUUUACUGGUGAUGUCAUUUUCACAAUUAAAAGGCUUAAAGCUCCGAGUCUAGACAGCCCUUUGACUGAAACUCAGAGGUUCUGAUGUCUAAUCAGGCAACUAAUGAGCAAGGGGAAAUAAGUGAUACCACAACAUUUUCCAUCUUGGUAGUGGCAAAGAGAUGUCAACAGAAUGGAAGACCCGUGUAGCCCUGAGCUGCUGAAUCUUCAGUGCCUGGCACGUGGUAGGGCACAGACAAGAUGUGCCGAAUAAAUGAAUGUUCGAAGACAGAACACAAGAAGGGCAGACUACAAGCCUAGAAGACCUGUUUCAUUCUAGGCCUGGCCUAAUGUAUUUCUCCUAUUUCCUUCAUGUGUUAUUGAUAAACAAAACUGGACACUGAAGUAUUUUUG